UGAAUGUCUGAAAUGAAAAUCUCAACUGAUUCAAAGAUAAAGAAUAUAAAAUCAGUACUUUUAGGAAGGAGCCACAUUAGCCUUCCUCUCUGCAGACCAACUUCCAUUCCAAGAAUAAUUUUCAUCUCUGUCAAAAGCAGGUAGAUUUAUAUUCCCUAAAACAACUCCUUAUACGUCGGAAGUGCCCAAUCAUUAUUUUUGAGUGGAGGACUGAAUCAAUAAGCUUUGAGGUGGUAAAUAUCAUUCCACGAUCCCACCCCUGUGUUGGUGAGAGAGAGAAGCAAGG